CAUUGAAACAUCAGUUCUCAUACGUUUACUGAAGUUAAGCGAUAUCCAGCCUGGCCAGUACCUAGAUGGCUGACCCUGUGGGAAUACCAGGUACUGCAA